rnacentral:rRNA from 1 species
UACGUAGGGUGCAAGCGUUAAUCGGAAUUACUGGGCGUAAAGCGUGCGCAGGCGGUUAUAUAAGUCAGUUGUGAAAUCCCCGGGCUCAACCUGGGAACUGCACCUGUGACUGUAUAGCUAGAGUACGGUAGAGGGGGAUGGAAUUCCGCGUGUAGCAGUGAAAUGCGUAGAUAUGCGGAGGAACACCGAUGGCGAAGGCAAUCCCCUGGACCUGUACUGACGCUCAUGCACGAAAGCGUGGGGAGCAAACAGG